rnacentral:lncRNA from 1 species
UCGCUUCUGGUCCACACCCACCCGCUACCUGAGCAGGCCAAUGGAGGCUGGUUGCAUGCAGAGCCUCGAUUCCAUCAAUUCACUCGAGGCACGGGUGACUGGUGUUGGAGCCAGACUUGGGAUAGAAGCAGGAGCACCUACCGAGGGGCCCGCCUCCCAGUAGCAGUUCUGGGGCUACUACCAAUAAAGCUGCUGCCAACAUUCAUGUGCAAGGUAUCCACAGAUCCUGAUCCACAGACGUG